AAAAAGUAGCUUAAAACAAAGCAUUUGACUUACAAUCAAAAAAUGUCGGCGCCCCGAUCUUUUUGA
rnacentral:tRNA from 1 species